AGGCAGCAGUAGGGAAUAUUGCACAAUGUGCGCAUUCCUGAUGCACCCCUGCCGCGUGUGUGAAGAAAGCCUUCCUGUUGUAAAGCACUUUCACUCAAGAAAGAAAAGUUAUUAUUUAAUACCCGCUAUCUGUGACCUUUCUGACAAAAAAAACCCCCGCUCACUCCCUGCCCGCCCCCCCCGUCAUACGGAGGGUGCCAGCCUUAAUCCUAAUUACUGGGCGUAAAUCCUACGCAGGCUGUUUGUUAAACUAGAAUGAAAGCCCCCGCCUCCACCUAGGAACUUCAUUUCUAACUGGCUAACUAUAUUGUGAUAGAGGGUGGUAUAAUUUCAUGUGUAUCAGUAAUAUGCGCACAGAUCUAAGAGACUACCGAUAGCGAAGGC
rnacentral:rRNA from 1 species